GAUGAACGCUGGCGGCGUGCUUAACACAUGCAAGUCGAACGGUGAAGCAGAGCUUGCUCUGUGGAUCAGUGGCGAACGGGUGAGUAACACGUGAGCAACCUGCCCCUGACUCUGGGAUAAGCGCUGGAAACGGCGUCUAAUACUGGAUAUGAGCUGCGACCGCAUGGUCAGCAGUUGGAAAGAUUUUUCGGUCUGGGAUGGGCUCACGGCCUAUCAGCUUGUUGGUGAGGUAAUGGCUCACCAAGGCGUCGACGGGUAGCCGGCCUGAGAGGGUGACCGGCCACACUGGGACUGAGACACGGCCCAGACUCCUACGGGGGGCAGCAGUGGGGAAUAUUGCACAAUGGGCGAAAGCCUGAUGCAGCAACGCCGCGUGAGGGAUGACGGCCUUCGGGUUGUAAACCUCUUUUAGCAGGGAAGAAGCGAAAGUGACGGUACCUGCAGAAAAAGCGCCGGCUAACUACGUG
rnacentral:rRNA from 1 species